rnacentral:rRNA from 1 species
UACGUAGGGUGCAAGCGUUGUCCGGAAUUAUUGGGCGUAAAGAGCUCGUAGGCGGUUUGUUGCGUCGGCUGUGAAAUCCCGAGGCUCAACCUCGGGUCUGCAGUCGAUACGAGCAACUAGAGUGUUGCAGGGGAGACUGGAAUUCCUGGUGUAGCGGUGAAAUGCGCAGAUAUCAGGAGGAACACCUGCGGUGUAGACGGCUUUCUGGACCAUUGCUGACGCUGAGACACGAAAGCGUGGGUAGCAAACAGG